rnacentral:rRNA from 1 species
AAAGUCCUACGGGAGGCAGCAGUGAGGAAUAUUGGUCAAUGGGCGGAAGCCUGAACCAGCCACGUCGCGUGAGGGAAGAAGGCCCUGCGGGUCGCAGACCUCUUUGGACGGGGAGCAAGGCCGCCGACGUGUCGGCGGAAGGAGAGUACCCGUAGAACAAGCAUCGGCUAACUCCGUGCCAGCAGCCGCGGUAAUACGGAGGAUGCGAGCGUUAUCCGGAUUUAUUGGGUUUAAAGGUUGCGCAGGCGGCACGGCAAGCCGGCGGUCAAAUCGCGGGGCCCAAGCCCGCCCAGCCGUUGG